UAAUUUAUUUGGAUUGGAUACUUAUAUAAUUAUACCAUAUCAUUACCUAGAUGCUAAAAAUUACCCGUGUAAAACACGCCCAAUUACAUAAAUAAUGUUGAUAAAUCAAUAACUUCUAUUAAAUAAUAUUUUUAUUUGAUC
rfam:Populus trichocarpa scaffold_3_contig_207, whole genome shotgun sequence.